UACGGAGGGUGCAAGCGUUACUCGGAAUCACUGGGCGUAAAGGGUGCGUAGGCGGGUUAUCAAGUCUCGAGUGAAAUCCAACGGCUUAACCGUUGAACUGCUUGGGAAACUGGUAGCCUAGAGUGAGGGAGAGGCAGAUGGAAUUGGUGGUGUAGGGGUAAAAGCCGUAGAGAUCACCAGGAAUACCCAUUGCGAAGGCGAUCUGCUGGAACUCAACUGAAGCGGAGGCACGAAAGCGGGGGGCGCAAACAGGAUUCGAUACCAGCGGAGUCC
rnacentral:rRNA from 1 species